CCUACGGGAGGCAGCAGUGGGGAAUAUUGGGCAAUGGGCGCAAGCCUGACCCAGCAACGCCGCGUGAAGGAAGAAGGCUUUCGGGUUGUAAACUUCUUUUGUCAGGGAAGAGUAGAAGACGGUACCUGACGAAUAAGCCACGGCUAACUACUUGCCAGCAGCCGCGGUAAUACGUAGGUGGCAAGCGUUGUCCGGAUUUACUGGGUGUAAAGGGCGUGUAGCCGGGUUGACAAGUCAGAUGUGAAAUCCUGCGGCUUAACCGCAGAACUGCAUUUGAGACUGUUGAUCUUGAGUACUGGAGAGGUAGACGGAAUUCCUAGUGUAGCGGUGAAAUGCGUAGAUAUUAGGAGGAACACCAGUGGCGAAGGCGGUCUGCUGGACAGCAACUGACGGUGAGGCGCGAAAGCGUGGGGAGCAAACAGGAUUAGAUACCCCAGUAGUC
rnacentral:rRNA from 1 species